ensembl:lncRNA
UGUAGGUUGGAGAAGAAAUCAGUGGGAGAACUGUAGAGGUAGCACGUGCGCUUGGAGAGGAUGAGCCUGAGGGGUGGGAGCUCCACUGCAGCCGUGGGAGGAGAUGGGAAGAGCCAACAACAUGCCCUAGGACCUGGGUAGUGGUUGGCGUGAAAGGGUCAGAAUCAUACCCUCAACAGGAGAAAUUUUAAAAAAUAAAACUGCUGCUAUUGUAAAAUUCCACAGAAAUUAAGUUUAAAAAACAGAGAAGAAAACAAAUACAAAGUUCAAGACUGAAUUUUAACUAAAAAGAAGCAACAACAAACAAGCAAAUUUUGUUUCACAUUAUGACUAAAAUGGAGUAGCAUUAGGAAAACUUCUCAGGAAGUCAGAACACAAUAUAAAUCGAGUCAGAACCACAUACAGUAGCAGAUUUGCAAGUGUGCUGCUGGCAUGUGGAGGCCAGGCGACUUGGCUACGUGGACAGAAGAAAGAGAUGGUUCCUGCUUGGCCCAGCUGUUCUAACUCUCCCAGCCCAGCAGCCGGACAUGUGGGUAGAGAAGCUUUCUCAUGACCCUGGCCUCAGCUGUCAUCUUCCUGCAACCAUUUGAAGGAGUCAAGCUGGACAGUGGCCAGCUCAGCCAAUCCCUAGAAAAAUGAAAUAUAAGAAUAAAUUACUGUCUUAAGCUAAGUUUUGUUAUGGUAUGUUACACACAGCAGUAAACAAUAUGAACAUGUAAUAAACAUCUGGUG